AUGGCCUGCGCUCCCAUCCUCCUCACUCUUUUUGCUCACUGCACAGGGAGGUGGGCCGAGGUUGUGUUCACUCAGCCUCAUUCUGUGUCGGGGUCUCCGGGGCAGAAGGUCAUCAUCUCUUGCACCCGCAGCAGCGGCAACGUUGGGGAUAACUAUGUGAGCUGGUACCAGCAGCGCCCGGGCAGUGCCCCCACCGCUGUGAUCUACGAUGAUGACCAAAGACCCUCUGGAGUCCCCGAUCGGUUCUCUGGCUCCAUCGACAGCUCCUCCAACUCCGCCUCCCUGAUCAUCUCUGGGCUGCAGCCUGACGACGACGCCGACUACCACUGUCUGUCUGGUUAUGACAACUAUUAUUACACAAUGCUCUAG